rnacentral:rRNA from 2 species
GGCGAACGGGUGAGGAUCACGUGAGAAACCUGCCCCAGACUUUGGGAUAACAAGUGGAAACGCUUGCUAAUACCGAAUGACGUCGGAGAACCGCAUGGUUCACUGACGAAAGGAAUUCCGGUUUGGGAGGGUCUCGCGGCCUAUCAGCUUGUUGGUGGGGUAAUGGCCUACCAAGGCAACGACGGGUAGCUGGUCUGAGAGGAUGAUCAGCCACACUGGGACUGAGACACGGCCCAGACUCCUACGGGAGGCAGCAGUGGGGAAUCUUGCGCAAUGGGCGAAAGCCUGACGCAGCAACGCCGCGUGCGGGAUGAAGGCCUUCGGGCUGUAAACCGCUUUCAGCAGGAACGAAAAUGACGGUACCUGCAGAAGAAGGAGCGGCCAACUACGUGCCAGCAGCCGCGGUGACACGUAGGCUCCAAGCGUUGUCCGGAUUUAUUGGGCGUAAAGAGCUCGUAGGCGGUUGAGUAAGUCGGGUGUGAAAACUCUGGGCUUAACCCGGAGACGCCAUCCGAUACUGCUCUGACUUGAGUUCAGGAGGGGAGUGGGGAAUUCCUAGUGUAGCGGUGAAAUGCGCAGAUAUUAGGAGGAACACCGGUGGCGAAGGCGCCACUCUGGACUGAAACUGACGCUGAGGAGCGAAAGCAUGGGUAGCAAACAGGAUU